rnacentral:rRNA from 1 species
GACGAACGCUGGCGGCGUGCUUAACACAUGCAAGUCGAACGGAAAGGCCCUGCUUUUGUGGGGUGCUCGAGUGGCGAACGGGUGAGUAACACGUGAGUAACCUGCCCUUGACUUUGGGAUAACUUCAGGAAACUGGGGCUGAUACCGGAUAGGAGCUCCUGCUGCAUGGUGGGGGUUGGAAAGUUUCGGCGGUUGGGGAUGGACUCGCGGCUUAUCAGCUUGUUGGUGGGGUAGUGGCUUACCAAGGCUUUGACGGGUAGCCGGCCUGAGAGGGUGACCGGCCACAUUGGGACUGAGAUACGGCCCAGACUCCUACGGGAGGCAGCAGUGGGGAAUAUUGCACAAUGGGCGGAAGCCUGAUGCAGCAACGCCGCGUGCGGGAUGACGGCCUUCGGGUUAUAAACCGCUUUCGCCUGUGACGAAGCGUGAGUGACGGUAAUGGGUAAAGAAGCACCGGCUAACUACGUG